CACGUCUCUUAUAUCUCCUGCAUUGACAAGUGGCCAUUGUGGUCAAGUAAUUCUUCUAGUUUGGGUUCUUCCCCUGGAACAAGAAUGUGGAACUGAACAAGGACAAGCCUUUCCACCCACUCAACAUCAUUGGGGUGGAGAAGAAGGAUGCCUAUGUGCUCUACGAUCUCAUCCAGGUGCUGGCACUCUUCUCCCACCACUCCAGCCUGAAGGCAGCACAAGCACCCAGAACAACAGCCAGAAAAGAAGCAGUGUUGUGAGCGUCAAGCAGAAGAGCAGACGGAAAUUUUACAUGAAGAAGCUGCAAAAACAAUCAAAGCAAAAG
ensembl:lncRNA